UACGUAGGGUGCGAGCGUUAAUCGGAAUUACUGGGCGUAAAGCGUGCGCAGGUGGUCAUGUAAGACAGAUGUGAAAUCCCCGGGCUUAACCUGGGAAUUGCAUUUGUGACUGCAUGGCUAGAGUGUGGCAGAGGGGGAUGGAAUUCCGCGUGUAGCAGUGAAAUGCGUAGAUAUGCGGAGGAACACCGAUGGCGAAGGCAGUCCCCUGGGCCUGCACUGACGCUCAUGCACGAAAGCGUGGGGAGCAAACAG
rnacentral:rRNA from 1 species